rnacentral:rRNA from 1 species
UACGUAGGGUGCGAGCGUUGUCCGGAAUUACUGGGCGUAAAGAGCUCGUAGGUGGUUUGUCGCGUUGUUCGUGAAAACUCACAGCUCAACUGUGGGCGUGCGGGCGAUACGGGCAGACUGGAGUACUGCAGGGGAGACUGGAAUUCCUGGUGUAGCGGUGGAAUGCGCAGAUAUCAGGAGGAACACCAGUGGCGAAGGCGGUGCUCUGGGCCGGAACUGACGCUGAGGAGCGAAAGCGUGGGGGAGCAAACAGG